CCUACGGGGGGCAGCAGUGAGGAAUAUUGGUCAAUGGGCUUACGCCUGAACCAGCCAAGUCGCGUUAGGGAAGACUGCCCUAUGGGUUGUAAACCUCUUUUGUCAGGGAGCAAUUGGCGCUACGUGUAGCGUUAUCGAGGGUACCUGAAGAAAAAGCAUCGGCUAACUCCUUGCCAGCAGCCGCGGUAAUACGGAGAAUUCAAGCGUUAUCCGGAUUUAUUGGGGUUAAAGGGUGCGUAGGAGGUAGGAUAAGUGAGAGGUGAAAUCCCGAGGCUCAACUUCGGAAUUGCAUUUGACACUGUUCGGCUAGAGAGUAGUUGCGGUAGGCGGAAUGUAUAGUGUAGCGGUGAAAUGCUUAGAGAUCAUACAGAACUCCGAUUGCGAAGGCAGCAUACCGGCGCCCAACUGACGCUGAAGCACGAAAGCGUGGGUAUCGAACAGGAUUAGAUACCCGAGUAGUC
rnacentral:rRNA from 1 species